CUGGUUUUCCAUUCAACAAACAUCCAUAUUCACCAUUAAUUUUAGCACCAAAAUAAUUCAUUUCUCGAUCACCAACGAACUUGAUCUCCACCACCUUAGAGUUGAACUUGACAAAUUUCGACACAUCAAAAUGUUGAGCAUAAGAAUACAAAUAUUCCAAUAUUUCCUCAUAAGUAGGGAAACUCAUAUUAUCCCUCUGACUCCAUAGGAAAUCAGAAAACUCAUAGUCACAACGAGGAGUCUGCAAUUUAGUAGACCAACACAUCAAAAUGUUGAGCAUAGGAAUACAAAUAUUCCAAUAUUUCCUCAUAAGUAGGGAAACUCAUAUUAUCCCUCUGACUCCAUGGGAAAUCAGAAAACUCAUAGUCACAACGAGG
rnacentral:lncRNA from 1 species